UAUCAAUAAGCGGAGGAAAAGAAACUAACAAGGAUUCCCCUAGUAACAGCGAGUGAAGAGGGAUCAGCCCAAAUUUGUAAUCUGGCUCUUUUCAGAGUCUGAGUUGUAAUUUUGAGAACUGUUUUCUGCUCUGGACCAUGUACAAGUCUGUUGAAAUGCAGCAUCAUUGAGGGUGAGAAUCCUGUUCAUGAUAUGGACUACCAGAGCUUUAUGAUAUAGUCUCUAAGAGUCGAGUUGUUUGGGAAUGCAGCUCAAAGUGGGUGGUAAAUUCCAUCUAAGGCUAAAUAUUGGUGAGAGACCGAUAGCAAACAAGUACCGUGAGGGAAAGAUGAAAAGAACUUUGGAAAGAGAGUUAACAGUACGUGAAAUUGUUAAAAGGGAAACAGUUGAAGUUAGACUUGUUGUUGUUGGUUCAGCUCUUUUAAGGGUGUUUUCUAAUAAUUAACAAACCAAUGUCAAUUUUUGGGUGUUGGAUAAGGGUUAUUGAAAUGUAGCAGUUUUGGCUGUGUUAUAGUCUUUGACUUGGAUACAAUGCUUAGGAUUGAGGAUUGCAGUAAGCCAUUUAUUUGGUGGAACAAUUUAUUGUUCUUCUUGCUGAGGAUAUUGGUGAAAUAGCUUUAA
rnacentral:rRNA from 1 species